rnacentral:rRNA from 1 species
CCUACGGGUGGCAGCAGUGGGGAAUAUUGGUCAAUGGGCGCAAGCCUGACCCAGCAACGCCGCGUGAGGGAAGAAGGCUCUCUGGUUGUAAACCUCCUUUAAGAGGGAAGAGCAGAAGACGGUACCUCUUCAAUAAGCGACUGCUAACUACGUGAAAGCAGCCUCGGUAAAUCGUAGGUGGCAAGCGUUGUCCGGAUUUACUGGGGGUAACGGGCGUGCAGCCGGGAAGAGAAGGCAGAUGUGAAAUCUCGCGGCUUAACCGCGGGACUGCAGUUGAAACUGUUUUUCUUGAGUACCGGAGAGGUAAUCGGAAUGCGUUGUGUAGCGGUGAAAUGCGUAGAUAUAAGGAAGAACACCAGUGGCGAAGGCGGAUGACUGGACGGCAACUGACGGUGAGGCGCGAAAGCGUGGGGAGCGAACAGGAUUAGAUACCCUAGUAGUC